rnacentral:rRNA from 1 species
AUGGAGUUAGUUUGUUGGAAUGUGCGUGGUCUAAAUGGGCCAGCUAGGAGGAAAACCUUACGUGAAUUUGUAAGCUCGUUGCAUGUGGCGAUUUGUUGUAUCCUGGAGACCAAAUUGGAGAGGGUGGAUCAGUUCACCAUUAUGCAAUGUAUGGGGCCUAAUUUCGAUGGCUACACCUAUCUACCGGCGUCUGACACUAGGGGUGGGAUUUUCAUUGCUUGGGACUCCACCAGGGUCCAAUUGUCUAACCAUGUCAAUGACACCCACUCCAUUUCCAGUUACGUGUCACCUGUGGGGGGUCCACCUUGGUGGCUGACCGUGGUUUAUGGUCCUUAGGAAGACGAGCAGAAAAUUGAGUUUCUGCAUGACUUGGCGGAGCGUAGAUCGUUGUUGUUGGGGAACGUUGCAGAAAAUUAA